AUCAUCUUGGGACGCGGUGCAAACCAGUGUGGACCUGAUUUCAUGUGCUGAAUUGUUUUGUGGGGGAAGUGUCAGAAUGGAGGCGUGAAGGAUUCUGUGGCAUCCAGACCUUCUCGGGUCAUUCCCAAUAUGCCAAGCAAGAGACCGAGGCCAGGAAAAUUCAUCACCCUCGUUGAAGCAGUGGGAUGUAACGACUAAGGGCUUAUGCCCUUGAGCCAGAUGGCCCAGCCCUUUACCCCAGCCCGCUGCCACUUGGGCGCAUGGCUGGCACAUUGCUUAACCUCUCCAUGCUUCCAUUUUCUCAUCUGUAAAAUGGGAGUGCAAACUGCCUCAGGAUUAUUGAGAAGGUUAAGCUAGUGAUUAUGUAACCUGCUUAGAACAAUGCCUGGCACACUGUUUAGUGUAUGAUAAAUUUAUUAAUAUUAACAUCAUCUGUAUUUCCAGGCAUUAUUACUUAAGCCGUGGCAUAGCUUUUCCCAUUUGAAACAGGCUAGUGUUUUGUUUUGUUUUGUUUUGUUCUAAUAGUGAGAACCGUUUAGAAAGUCUAAAGUCCUGUGAAAAUACCAGUGGGGUCGGUUAACUCGGGUUAGCUUGGUGUGCUUCUCUGACCUGGCCCUGGCUUGGGAGUACACGUUUUCUGAAUCUUACAGGACCUGCCUGAUGUGCAAGAGCUCAUCACUCAAGUGCGGUCGGAGAAGUGCUCCCUGCAGGCCGCAGCCAUCCUUGGUGAGCCCCCUGCCUGGCCUUUGUAUCCCCAGACUUCCCUUCCUGCCACUCCCCUUCUCUGUCACACCCCACACUACUGUUUUAAGGUUGAAAGGGUUGUCUUGGUUCAUCUGUAAGAUGUUCCUGGCCUUUACUUGUGCCAGCUGGGCAUCAGAUCGUGUAGAAGCAUUUCGAGAUGCACUGUUACACUGGCCCUUCUCCGUUACUGUCCUCAUGCAACUGUGCUGGCUUCACUGGGCCGACGGCAUUGGAUCUGGGAUUGAUCUGUUUAUCUCCACCACUUCUCAGCAGGAGACAGGCCUGGCUUCCCCACAUGCUGGCUCCUUUUGCUUUUGGGAUGUAGGGGCCACCUGUGUGAUAGGCCUCAUUUGUGAUUAGUGUGCUAUUAUAAAUCCUUGUUCUUACUGAAUCCCUGUGAAACUUUCAGAUGCAAACGACGCUCAUCAAACAGAGACCUCCUCCUCCCAAGUCAAGGACAAUAAGCCUCUGGUUGAACGGUUUGAGACAUUCUGCCUGGACCCUUCGCUUGUCACCAAGCAAGCCAACCUUGUGCACUUCCCACCAGGCUUCCAGCCCAUUCCCUGCAAGCCUUUGUUCUUUGACCUGGCCCUCAACCAUGUGGCUUUCCCACCCCUUGAGGACAAGUUGGAACAGAAGACCAAGAGUGGCCUCACUGGAUACAUCAAGGGCAUCUUUGGAUUCAGGAGCUAACCAGGCUCUUCCUCGGGGGCGGGGGAGAUUCUGACUCUUAAUCUGUAUUGUGAGAAAAUCCCAGCAAGUUCCAUGAUAUUAAAUCCAGGUCUGCAUUGGCCCGGGGCAAGAGUUUAACAUCUUCAGCCCUGCAUUCCUACAUCUUGUGUCUGUACACAUUCUUAAGCAGCGUGUCAGGAGAGCACCCUGUUGUCUUCUGGUAAAUGUGUGCAGGGUCAUCCUGUCUCCUGUACCUCCUGGGAAAGAGGCCGCUGCUGUCUGGUGCCCUGUGAGCUGUGAUUGAUUGCCUUUGGUCAGUAAUGCGUUCAGGAGUCCACACCAGGCACAGAUGGGGCCUUGAAACGCUUUGUCAUGCUUCUUCAGUACCAUGGAUUUGAAAUGAACUCAUCCUUGCUGUGAGCAUCCAGGAGCCCUUGAGAAGUUUAUCUAUGACUAUGAAACUGGCAACGUCACCCCAGAAUUACGGUCAGCCUUAUUCCCCUUCACCUCCCAGUGAACGCUAAGAAGUUUCAGACAAGCAGAGAGCUCUAUUUUUAGAAGAAAUAUGUUACACUCAGAAAUGAUGAAACCAAAUCUUAUAUUAAAAGGCAAAGAUGACGGAG
rnacentral:sRNA from 1 species